rnacentral:lncRNA from 1 species
CUCGUUAUUUGUUGCUGGGAAUUCAAAGUGCAGUGAGUAUUCCAACUCUUCUUCAUUCGGACCUAUCAUUAUGAUCCCCGCCCCGGAUCCUUCGUCAUUUGAAGAUCCAUCGACAAAAAUUUUCCAAUCUGCCUGCUCCCCUGGUGGGAGCUCGGGCGGGGUGGUGAGCUCAACGAUGAAGUCUGCUAAAGCCUGUGCCUUAAUAGCUGUCCUUGGCCUGAAUUCGAUAUCAAACUCGCUUAACUCAAUGGCCCAUUUUAACAGCCUCCCAGAGGUCUCGGGCCGAUGUAGAAUCUGCUUGAUAGGUUGGUCAGUCAUUACUUGCACCGUGUGAGACUGAAAGUAAGGCCUCAAUUUC